rnacentral:lncRNA from 1 species
AAGCUGCAAGAGUAGAUCCUAUUAUCACUUUGGAAGGUCUUGAUUUCAUUAUUCCAGGAAUAAUUGGAGACUUAGUCAGUGCAUUUGAGGUAUUCUGCACCUUAAGAAACACUGCCUCGCCUCUUCCUUCUUCGCUGUCUUUGAGAGAGAAAACUUCAUUCAGUAACAAACAGUUCCCUCUUCGACCCCCAUUCCAAUUAUAUUGAAAAACAGCAGCUUUGCAAGAACAGUUACUCAGACAGGCCCUUUUGCAAUCUUCUACCUUUUCCCCCUCAAGCCAAAAAACACUUGAAUUUAGUUCCUGAUUAAUGCUAAAUGAAAAAUAUGUAGUAUUCUUGAGCUCUACGAAACUAUGAUACUGCGA